rnacentral:tRNA from 1 species
UGCCCGUUAGCUCAGUGGGUUGAGCGUGGUGCUGAUAACACCAAGGUCGUGGGUUCGGUCCCUGUUCGGUCCC